rnacentral:rRNA from 1 species
UACGGAGGGGGCUAGCGUUGUUCGGAAUUACUGGGCGUAAAGCGCACGUAGGCGGCUUUGUAAGUUAGAGGUGAAAGCCCAGGGCUUAACCCUGGAAUUGCCUUUAAGACUGCAUCGCUAGAAUCGUGGAGAGGUGAGUGGAAUUCCGAGUGUAGAGGUGAAAUUCGUAGAUAUUCGGAAGAACACCAGUGGCGAAGGCGGCCACCUGGCUCGGUACUGACGCUCAGGUUCGAAAGCGUGGGGAGCAAACAGG